rnacentral:rRNA from 1 species
CAAUAGCGUAUAUUAAAGUUGUUGCAGUUAAAAAGCUCGUAGUUGAAUUUUUGCUUGCCGCCGAUGUCGGAACUUCCGUACGUUCGGCGGCGUGCAUCCUUGGGUGGAACCUGUGUGGCAUUAGGUUGUCGUGCAGGGGAUGCUCAUCGUUUACUGUGAAAAAAUUAGAGUGUUCAAAGCAGGCUUAUGCCGUUGAAUAUAUUAGCAUGGAAUAAUAAGAUAGGACCUUGGUACUAUUUUGUUGGUUUGCGCACCGAGGUAAUGAUUAACAGGGACAGUUGGGGGUAUUCGUAUUCCAUUGUCAGAGGUGAAAUUCUUGGAUUUCUGGAAGACGGACUACUGCGAAAGCAUUUACCAAGGAUGUUUUCAUUAA